rnacentral:rRNA from 1 species
UACGAAGGGGGCUAGCGUUGCUCGGAAUCACUGGGCGUAAAGCGCAUGUAGGCGGGUCGUUAAGUCGGGGGUGAAAUCCUGGAGCUCAACUCCAGAACUGCCUUCGAUACUGGCGACCUUGAGUCCGGGAGAGGUGAGUGGAACUCCGAGUGUAGAGGUGAAAUUCGUAGAUAUUCGGAAGAACACCAGUGGCGAAGGCGGCUCACUGGCCCGGUACUGACGCUGAGGUGCGAAAGCGUGGGGAGCAAACAGG